AUUGCUUCUCGGCCUUUUGGCUGAGAUCAAAUGUAGUAUCUGUUCUUAUCAGCUUAAUAUCUGAUACUUCUCUAUACAAGGACAGUAUAUUAAAUGGAUUUUUGGAGCUUGGAGUUGGAAUAGGAGCUUGCUCCGUCCACUCCACGCAUCAACCUGGUAUUGCAGUACUUCCAGGAAUGGUGCACACCCU
rnacentral:snRNA from 1 species